CUCUGCUUUGUUUUUGUGGGUAUAGUCCAUGACUUACAAAGUUACAAGUAUAAAUGUGUACCACUGGUAUGCCAACAUUGUACCAUCAAGUUGAUGAAUUUUCAAUCUGCAUGGAAAUUUCAAACUUGUUUGCUUAUGUUUGGUAGAUAAUCAUUAAAACAAAUUUGAAUUCUCAAUUUUGCUAUAUGAAGAAAUUCAGAGAAGGGAAUUUUACAUAGACAGACUUUUAGUUUAAUAGACUUUUGGUAGAGAAUUGAAAUUAAUAGCCAUGUUUUUCAAGCUUGUUAUAGUCAUAAUAGUAAGCCUAGCAGCAGCUGAAGAUCUCAAUUUCACCUACAAUGGUUUCCUGUCUGCUAAUCUUAGCCUAGAUGGCGUAGCCCAAGUCACAUCCAAUGGCCUUCUGAAGCUUACAAAUGACACUGGACUCGGCCAUGCCUUCUACCCCAACCCAGUAACCUUCAAGAACUCAUCCAAUGCUACCGCUUUCUCCUUCUCGACCACUUUUGUGUUCGCUAUCAGAUCUGGAUUAGGAACGAGUUUGGGUGGCUUUGGAAUGGCCUUUGUCAUUGCUCCGACAAGAGGGCUCCCCGGAGGUUUUAAAAACCAGUACCUGGGCGUUUUCAAUGAAACCAACAACGGCACCAACAACCAUAUUUUUGCUGUAGAGCUUGACACCAUACUGAACCCCGACCUUGGCGACAUCAACAACAACCACGUUGGGAUUGAUAUCAAUGAUGUGCGCUCAGUGAACUCAACUCCAGCGGGAUAUCAUGCUCUAAACAAUGGCGGUUUCCGAAACUUGACCCUCAUCAGUGGUCAACCAAUGAAGUUUUGGGUGGAAUAUGAUGGUAUCCAGAAGCAAAUCAAUGUCACUUUGGGUCCAAUCAAUGUUGAUAAACCCCAUAUUCCACUCUUGUCUUUGAAGUAUGACCUUUCCAUGGUCCUUAACACGAACAUGUAUGUUGGCUUCUCCUCUACUGCUGACUCACUCGUCACAUCUCAUUAUGUUCUAGGUUGGAGCUUUGAGAUGAAUGGCCAGGCUCCAGAACUUGUUCUCUCGCAACUUCCUAAGCUGCCCCGGAUAGGACGUAAAAAAAUAUCUAAUUUUUUGACCGUUGGUGUGCCUGUGAUGUCUGUGAGUUUGGUUUUGCUAGUGGUUUCAGGUUUAAUUUAUUUCAUAAGAAGGAAGAGGAAGUUUGCAGAAUUACUUGAAGAUUGGGAGCUUGAGUAUGGGCUUCAAAGGUUUAAAUACAAAGAGUUAUAUAUUGCCACAAAAGGGUUCAAGGAGAAGGAGCUUUUGGGCGCUGGGGGUUUUGGUAAAGUCUAUAGAGGCAUAUUCCCCUCCUCAAAAAUUGAGAUUGCUGUGAAGAGAGUCUCACACGAAUCGCGACAGGGGAUGAAGGAAUUUGUUGCAGAAAUUGUGAGUAGUGGCAGGCUUCGCCAUCGAAAUUUAGUCCCACUCUUGGGCUAUUGCAGAAGAAAAGGGGAGCUGCUCUUGGUCUAUGACUACAUGCCUAAUGGAAGCUUGGACAAGUACAUCUAUGACCGCCCUAUGGUCACUCUCAAUUGGAGCCAGAGGUUUAGAGUGAUCAGAGGUGUGGCUUCAGGGUUGUUCUAUCUUCAUGAAGAAUGGGAACAAGUUGUGAUUCACAGAGAUGUGAAGGCCAGCAAUGUGUUACUCGACGGUGAAUUGAAUGCAAGACUAGGAGAUUUUGGCCUUGCAAGAUUAUAUGACCAUGGAACAGACCCUCAAACUACUCAUAUAGUUGGAACACUUGGGUAUCUAGCUCCAGAGCAUAUAAGAUCAGGCCGGGCCACAACGAGCACCGAUGUGUUUGCUUUCGGGGCGUUUUUGCUCGAAGUAGCUUGUGGAAGAAGGCCAACAGAGGCACAAGGUCCAGACCAGGAUUUGAUUUUGGUUGAUUGAGUGUUUUCUUUUUGGAAUAGAGGUGCCAUUCUUGAGGCAAGAGAUCAAAACUUGAGUUCUGAAUAUGUAGCCGAGGAGGUGGAGUUGGUGUUGAAGCUUGGGCUGUUGUGCUCUCAUUCAGAGCCUACAGCCAGGCCAAGCAUGCGCCAGGUUGUGCAGUAUUUGGAAGGUGACAUUGCUUUGCCAGAGCUCUCUCUUCUUGGGCUCUCUUCAAAUGGCUUGACUUUUGCUCACCAUGAAGGUUUUGAUGAUUUUGCAAUGUCAUAUUCGUCUUCUCUGGGCAAGGGGUUUUCACAUUCAUCAUAUGCUGCAGAGUCCACACUCCUCUCGGGUGGUCGCUGAUUCGAAGCAAUUAAGAUUGUCUAGCACACUAGAAUGUUGACUCUACUUAUUAGUUUUGUAACUUGUACAAAAAUCAAUACUGUAACAAUCUGUAUGUAAGUUGGGUGGGAAUAAAAUUCUGCAAAAAGUACUAAUUCCAUACACACAAA